CCCAUCCAUCCACCUAUUCCCGAGCCGCUGCCACCCACCUCCCUUUCUUCCUCAGGAUCUCCUCAUUCCCCCCGAUCCAAUCCCACCAACCAGAACCAGCCCCGAAGCUUCCCCUCGAUCCCGCCGCCUCCUUGCUCGGGAGAGCAAAGGCUCGACCCCGAGCAGCACCGGCGCCUCGUGCCUCCUCCUCCCUUGGUCCUGGACGCGUCCGGCCGCCCGCGGCUGUCGUCGUCCGCGCCUACAGGAGCUAGCAGUUGCAGCCCCGAGCCCUCUGCUUCUUUCCUGCCGGCGUCCGAGGCCGCAGCCUCCUCGUCCACGACCACAUCACCCCACCGGAGCUCCCUCCGCCGACGAGCAUCCACCAGGCCAACCCGGCCAGCCUUCGGCCACCUACAGGCCGUCCCCGCGCUGGAGAACAGGAGCAUGCCCCGCCAUGACUGCCGCCCCGGAGCAGCAGUAGCGCCAUCGGAGACCCCUUGUGGGUGAGCAUCCAGUCGCCCCAGGGACAUGGCGCCGCUCGUUCUUCUGCAAGCCGGAGCAAGGACCCGUAGGACCCCCGCCGUUCAGAUCCGCAACCCCGUGCCUCCUCCUCGCACAUGCCCGGCCACGCCACCGGAGCCCCGCAGGCAACAGCAGCAGCCGCUGCACCAUCUCGCCGGCGAACCCAGCAGAUGAGCCGCCACCUUCCUCCACGCCUCCUCGCUGGCCUCCUCCAUCUCCCCACCAUGCCAGCAGCACCAGCCGCUCAAGUCCCAUCCUCGAGCUGCGCCCCUGCCUCGCCAUGGCCACCGGCCUUGUUGUUUCCUCGCUGUUUUUCCUCUGGUUCUUUUUGUCAACGCUGACUCACACGCGCUUGGGCCUAAUCCGCCGGUGGUCUACACUGACCUUCUCCUUCCGGCCCAGUAUUGUUUUUUUUCUCUGCUCAACGGUUUUUCCAUUUGUCCAGGACAACUAUUUUACAGUUUAGUCCCUCUAGAUCAUGCCUUUAAUGACUGACAAACCAUGCAACGUAUGUAAAAACUUUAUACAUGUAAAAUGCUUAGUUUUUCAUCUAGUUUCAUAAUAUUCUACUUUCAUCCAUGUUAAAAAUGUUUAAACUUGCUGUUUGUUUAAAUUUGUAUAAAUGCCAUGUUAA